AUUGGCAUGUGCCUGUAGUUCUAGAUACUCGGGGAGGCUGAGACGGGAGGACCAGGUGAGCCCAGAAGUUCUGGGCUGUAGUGGCUCUGCUGAUCACCCAUCUGCACUCAGUUCCACAUCAAUAUAGCGACCUCCUGGGAGCUGGGAACCACCAGGUUGCCUAAGAUGGGGUGAACCAGCCCAGGCUGGAAACAGAGCAGAUCAGAGUAGUGGGAUUGCAUUUGUGUUUAGCUACUGCACUCCAACCUGGGCAACAUAGCAAAACCCCCUCUCUU
rfam:Canis lupus familiaris chromosome 29, whole genome shotgun sequence.